rnacentral:rRNA from 1 species
AAUCAACGCUGGCGGCGUGCCUCAGACAUGCAAGUCGAACGCGAAAGGUUCCUUCGGGGACCGAGUAGAGUGGCGCACGGGUGAGUAACACGUAGGUAAUUUGCCUUUGGGUGGGGAAUAACUCAGGGAAACUUGAGCUAAUACCGCAUAAUGCAGCGGCUCGACAUCGAGACAGUUGUUAAAGCGGGGGAUUCGCAAGAACCUCGCGCCUAAAGAGAAGCCUGCGGCAGAUUAGCUAGUUGGUAAGGUAAUGGCUUACCAAGGCGACGAUCUGUAACCGGCCUGAGAGGGCGGUCGGUCACACUGACACUGACAUACGGGUCAGACUCCUACGGGAGGCAGCAGUCGGGAAUUUUGGGCAAUGGGCGAAAGCCUGACCCAGCAACGCCGCGUGAAGGAUAG